CUCCUCCCCGCCGCCCCGCCGCGGGCUCCCGGGCCCCGCGGGGGCCGAUCCCCCCCGGCCUGCAGCCCAGCCUGCGGGGGGCGCAGCGCCUAGUCCCGCCCGCGUCGCCCGCCAGCCCCGGGACAGCCCGCCUGGCGCGCGGGGCUCUGCGCGCUGCGACCCUCCCCGGCAGUCCCGCCCGCCUCUCCUCGCCCUCUCUCUGCCUGGCCUCCAACUUUGCCUCUCGCUAUCCUCUCCGCCGGCGCCCCCUUUCCCGGCGGUCCCCGGGAUGGUCCCCGGCACCCCGAGGACGCCGAGGUUACGGGAAGUUCGGGGACUGGCGGGAGAAGGGGUUUGGGGGUGGUCCGCGGCGAGGGGCGCGGGGUGCAUCUUCUCUUCCUUUUAUGGGCUGCCACACUUGUGUAUCCCUUCUUCCUUGAAUUUAACCAGGAGUGAGCAGUGGACAGCUUCUUCCCUAUGAGAAGGAGGUGAAGCAGGACCUGAAAUCCCGUGCUCAGCUCCCACAUGCCCCGUGUCCAGGACAAGUCCUUUGCUGAAUCAGCGGCAGACACCACCCGGAGCCCUGCGGGAGCCUUUCCCUGUUCUUCCAGCAUGGAUCUGAAACUCCCUUCCCACUUUCUGCAGCCUCCCAGAGAUAGUUCAGGCUCCAGCCUCAUGUGAUAGCAUGAAGAGAAACUGGUUCCAACAGCUGUGUGCUCUGCUGCCCUCAUCCCAAACAACAGUUUAAAUGCACAAUUACGCUUUUCUCUAAGGCCCAAAAUAGGAUAGGAAAGAUCGUUUUGCUAUCCCUGAAUGCCUGUCACCCUUGUUUCGUAAGGUAAGAUUGGGAAGGGCUUGGCCAUUGCCCUUGCAGCUGAGAAACCAACUUUAGGAAUAAAGACACUCUCUCCAUGUCUGACAAAUGUCUGCCCAUCUGCUGGCAGGUCAGUCUCUCUCUCUGAGAUAUAGAUUAUAUAUGUAUACAUAUAUAUGUGUGUGUGUAUAUAUAAUACACAUAUAUACAUAUAUACACACACAUUCACAUAUAUAAUAUAUAUGUGUGUAUAUACUAUACACAUAUAUAAUCUAUAUAGAGAGAUAUAUAGGUUAUAUAUAUGUACACGUGUGUAUGCAUAUUAUUAUACAGACAUAUACAUACACACAUAUAUAUACACACAGACAUAUAUAUACACGCACACACAUAUAUAAUCUAAUUAUGGAGCUGCCCUUACAGCUCACGCAUGUCAUGCGCACACACGCAGGCACAGUCAUUAGCUUUCAGAGCUGACACAUCAGGAGGCUGCAUCCCCCGCCUCCUCAUGGCUGAACGAUGUCUGCUCCUGGGUGACGCGUCCACUAGGCUGCCUCCUACUCAGGUUCCCCCUCCCCAGCCCCUUGUCUCGGAGCAGUCUUACUCUUAUUUUGUUUGUGGUACUUUUUCUGCCCGUCGAUGAUCUUACUCAUCUGCUUAUGUAUUUAUUUUCUGUUCCUCCUCCAGCAGGAAGUCAGUCCCAGAAUAGUUGUUCUGCUCCCUCCCUUCUAAUAAGUGCUGCGCUGAGUGUGCUUGCUUUGCCAGAUGGUUAAAACAGAGCAGGGGAUAGAAGGACAGAUGUCUUCACCCUCAUGGAGUUCACCUUCCAGUAGGAGGAGGCGAUAGGCCGGGGUCUGCACAUGUGCGUGCUACAGCCUGUUCCACGGUGCGUGGCGUGCGGGGCAGUAGAGACAGGAUUUCACCAUGUUGGCUAGGAUGGUCUCGAUCUCCUGACCUUGUGAUCCGCCCCUCCCUCAGCCUCCCAAAGUGCUGGGAUUACAGGCGUGAGCCACUGCACCCUGCCAGAAAACUCAUUCUUCUACUCCAUCCUACAGUUUUCCCUAAGAGAGAAACAAUAAAACGCCACCACGACCAAUGGCAAAAAGCUGGCACCCACUCCACGACUUUUCAUAUCUACACGUUUGUACAGCUUUAUUUUUAAGCAUUCUGAAAUUCUAUGCAGGAGAGACCCCAGCUAGGUUUAGGGAGUCCUAGGGUUUGUGGAGUAAAUGAAGUUUCUCCCUAGAAUUAGGGAGGGUAGAGACAGGCAGAGAACUGACAAUCCUAACAGCUGCUGUCCUCAGAGCCACUGUUUCUGAGAGCUGCUCGCUGAGUGCUUCUAGCGAGUUAAAUGGUGUUCGCCCAAAAGACCUGUUCACGUCCUGAUCCUGGGAACCUGUGGCUGUGAUCUUAUUUGGAAAAAGCUCUACAUUACGUCUUUGCAGAAGUAAUCAUGUUAAGGAUCUUGAGAGGACGUGACCCUGAAUUAUCCGGCUGUGCUUGACAUCCAAUGACUGGUGAUGUUGUAAGAGAAAGACGGAGGGAGAUGUAAGAUAUGAGAGAAGGCCACGCCGAGACUGGAGUGAUGUGGCCGUGAGCCGAGGAAUGCCUGGAGCCACCAGAAGCUGGCAAAGGCAGAAGGAGCCUCCUCUGGACCCUGUGGUGGGUACGCAGCCUGGCAGAUAUAUUCAUUUUGGACUUCUGGCCUCCAGGGCUGUGAGAGAAUACAUUUCUGCAGUUUUAAGCCACGCAAUCUGUGUCCCUGGGAAGCCCAAAUAGGGCGAGACCUUUUGCCAAGUGGUCUCCAAGUGUCACGUCAUCGAAUCCUUCUCCCGGGCUUGUGCCAUAGUCUUUCCACUUUAGAGAGGAGGAAACGGAGGCUCUGGGGCACAAAGCCAGUCAGUGGCGGGGCCUGACUUUCAACCCAGCCUGCAUGGGGUCAGAGAACCCACUUUCCCCGUGGGGCCUGCGGCCUAUGCUAAGGAUGCUUGUUCAUCUCUCCUGGGCCCGGGAGUGGUUCUUCUGGCCUAGAAGGCAAGAGAAGCCAGUCUUUCGGUUUCAAGGUUUCCCAUUAGUGGAGUCAAGCAAAAAUGGUGUGUUGCGCUUCUUCCUGAGCUCAGCCUGGGAGCACGGCCUUAACAUGCUCAGUGGAUCCCAAGACGGCAGCAUGGCGGUGCCAGCCUGGCAGCCUUAGCUCCUUGCAGCUGUGCUUGUGAAGGGAGCAGUGAGUGGCUUCCCUCUGUGACCACCUUGGGUCCUAAGUUUCACUGGGGCUGGGAUCCAUGCGUCUUGCAAUUGGCUAGGAAUUUCCCGGGCUUUCCCUCCCUUCCCUGUUCAGGGCACUGGGUGUGAGGCAUUGCAUCCGUUCUUCUGCUCACCUGCUUCCCCCUAAGAGUGUGAGCUGUAUAAAGGCAGGAACCAAACAGGAGCCUCCACGUGUUCCCAGUUCAAGGGCAGUGUCCCUUGUGUGUUUCUUCAAUAAUUCAGUGGAUGACUUAUUCUGCACGGACACUGCACACACUCGGCCCUGCCGUCUCCGGAGCUGGGAGGUGUGGAGCUGGCUCCUGACCUAUUUACACACUGAGGAGGGAUGUGGAAAACAGGAGGAGUCCCAGGGCUCCAAUGCAAAGAGGAGCCUCUUCAUUCCCUCUGCCGUGGCCGUGCAAGGGACAGCGCCUUGUGGGAUUGUGUCCUCCACCCAAUUAUCCUUAGCAUUAGUUUGCUAAGGAUAAUGGCCUCCAGCUCCACCCAUGUCCCUGCAAAGGACAUGAUCUCAUUCCUUUCUGUGUCUGCAUAGUAUUCCAUGGUGUAUAUGUACCGCGUUUUCUUUAUCGAGUCUAUCAUUGAUGGGCGCUUCAGUUGAUUCCAUGUCUUUGCUACUGUGACUCGUGCUGCAAUGAGCAUUCGCGUGCAUGCCUUUAUGGUGGAAUUAUUUCUAUUCCUUUGGGUGCAUACCCAGUCAUGGGAUUGCUGGGUCAAAUGGCAUUUCUGCCUCUAGGUCUUUAAGGAAUUGCCACGCUGUCUUCCACAAUGCAAGCAAGACGUUAUUGAAAGUGUAAAGGGGGCUGCUAAUUACGCUGGGGCAGGCGGGGCAAACCAGGACCCUGCCAGGCGAGUCUAGGCCAUGGCCCCACACCAGAAGAUGAGGGCUGGAGACUCCUGGAGAGGAAUCUGAGUGGCGAGACCACCUGCAUUCAUUAUGUGUCAACUCUGCCAGGUGACAGUCCCCAGUGAGCCCAUCAAACAUGAACCUAGGUGCUGUUGGGAAGGUCUUUGGAUGCCAUUAACAUCUACAAUCAGUUGGUUUUCAGUAGAGGAGAUUAUCCUCAAGAAUGUGGGCGGGCCUCAUCCAGUGAGCUGAAAGGCCUUGAGAGCAGAACUAGGAUUUUGGAGGAGGAUGAAGUGUUGCCUCCGGACCGCAGCGUCACCUCUUGCCUGGGAAUUUCCAGCUUCCUUUUCAGACUUCGGACUUGCCUCCAAGCUCCCUGAAUCUUUUCAUAUAUUUAUGUCCUAUUGCAGAUUGUGUUUCUCUGGCUGGACUGUAACUGAUGAGGAGGACUGAAAUUCCAGGCUUGGUUGUAUAGCAUAUAAGUGAGGUCAUUUGGGUCUGGGGAGCUGGGGGGGGGGUCCUUCAGCUGCAUGAGUGUGACCUGCACCAAGGUGCCUGGCUACCUGGGGCGAGGGGGCUGCCAUCUAGCCCACACCCCACUCCUAGGCCGUGCACCCUGGCAUGGGUCUAUGUCUGGCUCAAGGAAGGGUUCCCUCCUCCCUCCAAUGUGCACAGAGACCUUGAGAUCCCAUCCACCUAACCCUGUGCCCUCAGAAGCCUCCUCUGAGAGGGGGCACCUUUUCCUAAUUCUCACAAAGGCUAGUGGCUACCUUGUAGAUAGCCUUGGAUGUGUUAGGACACUUUUCUGAACAUCAGUUCCUUAUCUGUAAGAUGGGAGUUGUGUCCUCAAUGGGUAAUUAGAGAUUAUUCAUGGGAAAUCCUAUCACGGUAUCUACCACGGGGAGACUCACAAGUGCUGAUCUUUGCUGGUGUUGCUGCAUUUGUUAUUGAAUGCAUUCGUUAGGAGUCUUGUUAGUAAGUGACAAAAAUCCAACUCAAAUUGGCUUACACUAAACAAGUUUCCUGCAUCUGGGAGUAUAAAGGGUGACGCUUUGGCAGAGGCUGGCUCUGGAAAACGAGGACGCACAUUUGUGCCCCCACUUUCCUCUGUGCGGCGUCCUUCUCUUCAAGGCUUCCCCCAGUUUGGCAAACACGGCCCCAGCAAUGUCAAGCUGAGAGCACCUUUUAAGAAAGACCCUUCCUUCCAUGUGUUUUGGCAAAAGUCCCAUGAAGCAGUAUGAGUGGCCCGGUUUGGGUCAUGGGCUCACCCCUAAACCAGCCGCUCUGGAUGGAUUAGUUCCAAUUGGACAGGCCAUGGUCUUGGACUCUUUGGGUGAGUGUGGGAGGGUGUGGGAGGGAAGAUUCAUUGAACCUCAUCUCUACUACAUGGUACAGCUCCCUGGAAGAAAGAGGGGCUCCAUUACCAGAAGGAAACAAGGAAUUUUAUGGGGAACCACAUUAUCACUACCACAAUCUACCAUGCUAUACAUAAGAAAUGCACCUUGGUCUUAAUGCACGGUCUUGAGGGGGUGCAAGCUGAAUCCAAUUCCCAGCGUCUGGGUCAGUGUCCCUCAUGGGGGAGCUGCCUCACUUAAGAUUCCUUUGGAUAGGUAAGGUAGAACACCAAGCUGCGCGGGAUUAUGAAAAGAAAGGGAGAAAUUCACUGGCUCGCAGAAUUGAAAAGCUGAGAUCCAGCUGUACUUUUAAGCCUGAGCCAUUCUCCAGCUCCUGGCCCUGCCUCUCGCUGUCUUGGCUUCACCCUUCACAGACUGCCCUGCAAGGACCGAGGUGGAGUCUCAUUGGACUGGCUCAGGUCGUGUGCCUAGUUCUGAACCAUCCACUGUUUCCAGAGGGAUGGGGUAUCCUGAUUAGCCAGGAAGAAGUCAGACGUCUCUGAGCUAACUUUACUGAGAAUUGGGUAGAGGAGGUCCCCCAAAAGUAAAGUUGGGCACUGCAGUUCAGGAGAAGGGUGAUCACUGGUUGCUAAGCAACCAUAAAGUAGCCAGCAUCUCCUGUGGGUUGGGGUUUGCGCCUGUGAAUGGACAAGUGGCACUCGGAAAUUAAAUGCAGUGCAUCCAGUGCUCAAGCUCCUGGGCUUCGUCUGCUCCACACUUUUUCCUCUGCCCUUUGGGCUAAAGCCGUUGGGUUUGGGACAAGAGAAGGGGAGAGCUGGUACCUCUUCCCUUUUUUGCCCAGGAAAGUUGUUUCUCCAUCAUUUCAUGGCUCAAAGUCAUUAAAUCUGAGUAAUUCUUACAAACCAGAUCCAGGAAGAAUCUAGGAGUGGGCUCUCUGUAGAUUAGAAUGCUUCAGGCUGCAGGUAACAGAAGACUUGACUGGAAAUGCCUUCAACAGAGAAGGGAUGUAUCAUUUUCUAGAAGGAGAAAUUCUGCAGCUGGGACGGUUCCAGGGUUGGUUUCUUUGGAAACUCAGAACUUCAUCGAGGCUCUGGAUUCAUUUCUUCUUUCUGCUGUGCCAUUUCCAGCCUGUUGACUUGGCCUGGGCCAGCUGUCCUCUCACGCUCAUGAUUGCUGCCUCUGCUCCUGCCAUCACAUACACAAGCAGUGCCUGUUCAGUGGAACAAAAGGAAAUCAAAAAGAGGAAUCACAUUGUCCUGUGUCUCUACAAUGUUUUUUUUUUUUUAAAUCAUGAAAACCGUUCCCAGAAACCCCACAACAGACUUUCUGUUUCAUCUCAUUGGCCAGAACAGUAUCACAGGAGACUACUGGGAUUGGCAUAGACUAGCUAGGAUGCACCCUUAGAGCCCGUGGAGGACGGCAGACAUCUGAGCAGAGCUGGGCCUCAGCGGGCAGGGGAUGACAGGGACUGGCAGGCAUCCUUUUGGUCACUCAGAGGACUUCCUUCAAUCCACCCAGGGCUGGUUGGCAUCAUAAACUCAGGAUGGCAGCACUUGGAUGGCUGUGGUUGCUUUGUCUCCAGUGAGUGCCCCAGGAAACCAUCUCUUCUGGUCGCCACACGGCUAUUUGGUGAGCUGCUUGCUGGGGUGAGCUGCUGCUGAAUGGGUGUGGUUGAAACUGGAAGGGUGAGGUCCCAAAGCCACUGUCUGCCCCUGGGUGACUGCAACAGGUAGCCCCCCCACCAACUUCCAGGCAAAUCCGUGGGAAAUGGAACAAGGUAUCAAGGGGAACAGGGGAGUCAGGCCACCAGGGCCCCACUGAGGAAGGCACCUGUUGCACCAUAUUUUGACGUCUUGAAUGUGUAUCCACUGGCCCAGGGAGUGGCUUAAUUACCAGUGUAAUAGCAGGUCCACUUACAGCUUCAGGUUUCGUAGAGGAAAAAGCAUCAUUGCAAAAUGCUUUUGAUGUGGUUAAGCGGUGAGGCCACAGUGAAUUUUAAGUGCUUGGUAAAGCGCAUGGAAAAAGAAAAGCACAAGUCAUACUUGGUAAAGGACAUUUCCCUUCCUAGAUGCCAGGUGUGAAAGGAUGCCAGGAAUAUUCUCUGCUCUUUCCUCCUGCUUCCUGAAGGACUGAGUCCACACUAACUAUUAUCAAACAAACAAACUUCCAGGGGAAAAGACUGCAGAACCUAUACAUUCUUUAUAAUUGGAAUCACAGCUAUACAUUCUUUAUAAUCAGAAUAACAGCUCUACAUUCUUUAUCAUCGCAGCUAUACGUUCUUUAUAAUCAGAAAGUGCUUUCUGGCCAGGCACGGUGGCUCAUGCCUGUAAUCCCAGAACUUUGGGAGGCCAAGCCAGGUGGAUCACCAGAGUUUAGGAGUUCGAGACCCUCUGGCCAACAUGGCAAAACCCCGUCUCUACUAAAAAUACAAAAAAAAAAAAAAAAAGCCCAGUGUGGUAGCAGGCGCCGGUAAUCCCAGCUACUCAGGAGGCUGAGGCAGGAGAAUCGCUUGAACUCAGGAGGCGGAGGUUGCCGUGAGCCAAGAUCACAUCACUGCAUUCUAACCUGGGCAACAACAGUGAGACUCCAUCUCAAAAAAAGAGAAAAGUGCUUUCUGCUGUCUUACUGAGGUCCCUGCUGCUCUGCUAACUCCUUCUCAAGCUGAGAGGUAAAGCAGGUGCUUUACUUCUGUGUGGUCAUGUGUUGGGUGCCUGCUACAUCAAAACGCUCUUCCAUAUGCAGAGAAAAUCAGAAGGAAGGGAGCACUGAGUGGCUAGUGGGCAAAGGGGAGAGACAGCGAGACCAACACAUGCCACAGAGCUGCCUUUUAUAUGAAUUCAAAUUCUGGGAUUUCGGACUAGGGCAAUAUGACAAAUAUUCAUGGACUUUCACUAGACCAAAAUUGGAAUAAAUGCUACACACACCCCAAUUUUUAAAAUUAGUAAAAACAUGUGACUUUAAAGCAGGCUGCCUACGUUGAUAAUAAACCACAUUUUCCCUAACGUGAAAAGUCAGUGCCAUUCGAGCUUGUCGACAGAAAUACAGAACAAUUCCUCAGUGAUGUGUGCUUCUUUGCAAAAAUCAGCCUUGAAUUAUGCAGGUUUGAAAUAGGCAAAAUCUUCCUAAACAAAUACUUUGCAUACAAUACCUCCAACCUCUAUUCCAGUAUAAUGUUUAAACUCUGUGCUAGAUGUCCACUUAGUUCUUUCAUUGAUGUGAAGCUAUUUCAUUAGGAGUCAGCAACUAUGCCCUGUGAUCUGACCCAAUGCCUGUUUUUGUAAAUAAAGUUUUAUUGGCACACAGCCACACCCAUUCAUUUACAAUUCGCAGAUGGUCACUUUCUCACUCCAAUGGAGUGGUGGCCACAGAAACCGUCUGGCCCAGAUGUCUAAAACAUUUAUUAUCUGGAUCUUUAUAGGAAAUGUUUGCUGGCUUUAGAGCGAGGAGUUUCAUCACUAGGAUAAGCGACUCCAUUUUCUUUUACCUAUGGAGAUUUCUCAGCCUUGCUGCACCUUAUUGCUAUAACUCUG
rnacentral:lncRNA from 1 species